CCUAGGAGAGGAGCAUUCAGGAGGGAAAUAAUGCUGCAGAUUUCUUCUAACAACAAAUAUGGAAUUCCAAGGACUAGUUGAUUCAAUACGUUGAGCAUUUAGCUGCUCCUGUACCAGCUGUUCUAGUGCCUGUAAUUUUUCUCAUGUCAAAGGCCAUUGUUCCAUCCACAUAGUUUGUUUCUGAGAUUGGAGGAAUGCUAAGCUGUGUUUUCCAUUGCUGCAACAAAUCAUGUCCCCAUAAAUUCACUGCUAUGUCAGCCACAUAUGGCUUUAAUUUUCCUAUCUGUCCUUCUGUCCCUAUAUACUCAGUCCAUCUUGUACUUUGUUUUACAUGAAAUAAAGUUCCAAUUCCUAGAAGAUGAAUAUUUACCUCCUGAAGAGGCCAAUCUGGAUGCCAAGAUUUUGGUGAAAUUAUUCUUACAUCCAUGCCUGUGAUCAAUAAACCUAUAAUUCAA